rnacentral:lncRNA from 1 species
AUGGGGCCUAUGUGGUUCUAUGGGUGUCUAUGGGGCUCUAUGUGGUGCUAUGGGGCUCCAUUGGGUUCUAUGGGGCUCUAUGGGGGUCUAUGGUGGUCUAUGGGGCUCUAUGGGGGUCUAUGGUGGUCUAUGGGGCUCUAUGGGGCCCUAUUGGGCGUCUAUGGGGCUCCAUUGGGUCUAUGGUGUUCUAUGGGGCUCUAUGGGUGUCUAUGGGUCCCUAUUGGGUGUCUAUGGGGCUCUAUGGGGUGUCUANGGGUGUCUAUGGGGCUCUAUGGGGUGUCUAUGGGGCUCUAUGGGGCCCUAUGGGGUGUCUAUGGGGCUCUAUGGGGCGCUAUGGUGCUCUGUGGGGCUGUAUGGGGUGCUAUGAAGCUCCAUUGGGCUCAAUGGGCGGUUAUGGUGUGUCUAUGGGGCUCUAUGGAGUGUCUAUGGGGUGAUAUGGGUGUCUAUGGGGUGUCUAUGGGGCUCUGUUGGGGUCUAUGGGGUGUCUAUAGGGGUCUGUGGGUUGUCUAUGGGGCUCUAUUGGGGUCUAUAGAGCUCUAUGGGGUGUCUAUGGGGGGAUAUGGGGCUCUAUGGGGCUCCAUUGGCUCUAUGGGGUUUCUAUGGGGCUCUAUGGGGCGUCUAUGGGGCUCCAUUGGGUCUAUGGGGUUUCUAUGGGCCUCUAUGGGGCCCUAUUGGGUGUCUAUGGGGCUCUAUGGGGCGUCUAUGGGGCUCCAUUGGGUCUAUGGGGUUUCUAUGGGGCCCUAUUGGGUGUCUAUGGGGCUCUAUGGGUUGUCUAUGGGUCUCUAUGGGGCCCUAUUGGGUGUCUAUGGGGCGUCUAUGGGGCUCCAUUGGGUCUAUGGGGUUCCUGUGGGGCUCUAUGGGGCGUCUAUGGGGCUCCAUUGGGUCUAUGGGGUGUCUAUGGGGCUCUAUGGGGCCCCAUUGGGUGUCUAUGGGGCUCUAUGGGGUGUCUAUGGGGCUCCAUUGGGUCUAUGGGGUUUCUAUGGGGCCCUAUUGGGUGUCUAUGGGGCUCUAUGGGGCCCUAUUGGGUGUCUAUGGGGCUCUAUGGGGCUCUAUGGGCCCCUAUUGGGUGUCUAUGGGGCUCUAUGGGGUGUCUAUGGGGCUCUAUGGGGCCCUAUUGGGUGUCUAUGGGGCUCUAUGGGGGCCUAUGUGGUUCUAUGGGGUGUCUAUGGGGUCUAUGGGGUGUCUAUGGGGCUCCAUUGGGCUCUAUGGGGCUCUAUGGUGCUCUAUGGGGUGUCUGUGGGGCAGUAUGGGGCUCUAUGGGGCUCCAUUGGGCUCAGUGGGGGGAUAUGA